AUUGAACGCUGGCGGCAGGCCUAACACAUGCAAGUCGAGCGGUUGAGGGGAGCUUGCUCCCUGAUUCAGCGGCGGACGGGUGAGUAAUGCCUAGGAAUCUGCCUAUUAGUGGGGGACAACGUUUCGAAAGGAACGCUAAUACCGCAUACGUCCUACGGGAGAAAGCAGGGGACCUUCGGGCCUUGCGCUAAUAGAUGAGCCUAGGUCGGAUUAGCUUGUUGGUGAGGUAAUGGCUCACCAAGGCGACGAUCCGUAACUGGUCUGAGAGGAUGAUCAGUCACACUGGAACUGAGACACGGUCCAGACUCCUACGGGAGGCAGCAGUGGGGAAUAUUGGACAAUGUGCUAAAGCCGGAUCCAGCCAUUCCGCGUGUGUGAAGAAGGUCUUCGGAUUGUAAAGCACUUUAAGUUGGGAGAAAGGGUUGUAGAUUAAUACUCUGCAAUUUUGACGUUACCGACAGAAUAAGCACCGGCUAACUCUUUGCCAGCCGCCGCCGUAACAC
rnacentral:rRNA from 1 species